AUUGAACGCUGGCGGAAUGCUUAACACAUGCAAGUCGAGCGGGCUGUAGCAAUACAGCUAGCGGCGGACGGGUGAGGAAUACAUAGGAAUCUGCCUCAGAGUGGGGGAUAGCCCGGGGAAACCCGGAUUAAUACCGCAUGAUGUCGUAAGACCAAAGCAGGGGACCGUAAGGCCUUGCGCUUUGAGAUGAGCCUAUGUCGGAUUAGCUAGUUGGCGGGGUAAAAGCCCACCAAGGCGACGAUCCGUAGCUGGUCUGAGAGGACGAUCAGCCACACCGGAACUGAGACACGGUCCGGACUCCUACGGGAGGCAGCAGUGGGGAAUAUUGGACAAUGGGCGC
rnacentral:rRNA from 1 species